CCUACGGGUGGCAGCAGUAAGGAAUAUUGGUCAAUGGUCGAAAGUCUGAACCAGCCAUCCCGCGUGCAGGAUGAAAGCCCUAUGGGUUGUAAACUGCUUUUAGCAGAGAAGAAAAGCUUUCAUUAAUGAGAGUCUGACGGUAUCUGCAGAAUAAGCACCGGCUAACUCCGUGCCAGCAGCCGCGGUAAUACGGAGGGUGCGAGCGUUAUCCGGUAUUAAUGGUUUGUAGGGGUACGAUUACGUAGUAUGAGAAAUCGUGUCGCUUAACGAUAAAAUUGCCAAUGAUACUGGUACUCUUGGAUUGGGUUGAGGUUAGCGGAAUGUGACAUGUAGCGGUGAAAUGCAUAGAUAUGUCAUGGAACACCAAUUGCGAAGGCAGCUAACUGGGCCUUGAUUGACGCUGAGGCACGAAAGCGUGGGUAGCGAACAGGAUUAGAUACCCGAGUAGUC
rnacentral:rRNA from 1 species